CAGACCAACUCGAUCAGGAUCUAUUUUAUAGUAACUGACCGAGUCCCGCAAUUUCUCAAUUGCCACUUCUUCAAACCUAGUCGAUGAGACGACGCUUGCCGCCUUACACCGAGAACAUGUGCGCCUUUGGGGCGCACUCGAGGACGUGCCGGCUCUCUGAGUCGGGGGCGCGCAGCGGAUUUCUGAUAGGU
rnacentral:snoRNA from 1 species